AGAAGGCGCAUUAUAUAUAUAGGCCAUGGCUUCUAUACUAUUAUGAGUAUUGGAGCCCUCGUACUCAUAAGUUGUUUUCAGUGAUGAAGCUUCCGAAUCGACGAUCCACUCCGUUAAAUAUGAUCUAGAGUAUUUGAAACUUCUAGAAAAUAUAUUUCGUAAAUUUUCGAAAUCAUAAUAAAGUCCAUCAAGUGAGCAUAAAAUGAACGGUCAAAAUCGAACGACGUCCUAAAAAAGAAUGAUCGGAUCCUUCAAUUUAAGAUCAGAGUUAUUGAUUUUUAUCUAUGUAGUGAAUAGAAUUUUCUAUCAAAAAUUCAACAAAUUCCGAUUCUUUUACACCGUUAAACUAGCAAGUAUCCCAUACCGGCCGUUAAAAAUUGUCAAAUUUGUGACCUCUUGAUCGUAAGGUAAAUGAUGUUGAAAAUUAUAAAAUUUGAUUUCUAGAAGUUUUAAAUACUGUAAAUAACAUUUAAUGGUGUGGAUCGUCGAUUCAGAAGCUCUAUCAUCGAAAACAACUUAUGAGUACGAGGGCGAUCAUACUCAUAAUAGUAUAGUAGCCGGACCCUAUAUAUAUAUAUAUAUAUAUUAACAAUAGAAUUAGGCUAGAAUACUAUCAAUAGGACCAAGUUAUUGGUGCUAUUAGUUUUUUAGCUUUUGGAUUGAAAAAUGUGCGGUUAGGAUGAUGUGGGCCCCCUAGAGUUGAGUGAAUAGUUGACUGAAUAUUAUAAUCUAACGGAUAAAAAAAUUAAAGGGUUAAAUCUAACGGUAGAAAAUUCGAUAGCACAAAAUUCUUGGUGCUAUCGAUAGUAUCCCAGCCGGACUCUUAACAAUAAUUUUGUUGAGAGUUU
rnacentral:lncRNA from 1 species